rnacentral:rRNA from 1 species
GAUGAACGCUGGCGGCGUGCUUAACACAUGCAAGUCGAACGAUGAAGCCCAGCUUGCUGGGUGGAUUAGUGGCGAACGGGUGAGUAACACGUGAGUAACCUGCCCUUAACUCUGGGAUAAGCCUGGGAAACUGGGUCUAAUACCGGAUAGGAGCGUCCACCGCAUGGUGGGUGUUGGAAAGAUUUAUCGGUUUUGGAUGGACUCGCGGCCUAUCAGCUUGUUGGUGAGGUAAUGGCUCACCAAGGCGACGACGGGUAGCCGGCCUGAGAGGGUGACCGGCCACACUGGGACUGAGACACGGCCCAGACUCCUACGGGAGGCAGCAGUGGGGAAUAUUGCACAAUGGGCGAAAGCCUGAUGCAGCGACGCCGCGUGAGUGAUGACGGCCUUCGGGUUGUAAACCUCUUUCAGUAGGGAAGAAGCGAAAGUGACGGUACCUGCAGAAGAAGCACCGGCUAACUACGUG